rnacentral:rRNA from 1 species
GAUGAACGCUGGCGGCGUGCCUAAUACAUGCAAGUCGAGCGAACAGACGCGGCGCUUGCUCCUCUGACGUUAGCGGCGGACGGGUGAGUAACACGUGGAUAACCUACCUAUAAGACUGGGAUAACUUCGGGACACCGGCGCUAAUACCGGAUAAUAUAUUGAACCGCAUGGUUCGAUAGUGAAAGACGGUUUUGCUGUCACUUAUAGAUGGAUCCGCGCCGCAUUAGCUAGUUGGUAAGGUAACGGCUUACCAAGGCAACGAUGCGUAGCCGACCUGAGAGGGGGAUCGGCCACACUGGAACUGAGACGCGAUCCAGACUCCGACGGGAGGCAGCAGUAGGGAAUCGUCCGCAAUGGGCGAAAGCCUGACGGAGCAACGCCGCGUGAGUGAUGAAGGUCUUCGGAUCGUAAAACUCUGUUAUGAGGGAAGAACAAAUGUGUAAGUAACUAUGCACGUCUUGACGGUACCUAAUCAGAAAGCCACGGCGAACUACGU